rnacentral:rRNA from 1 species
GACGAACGCUGGCGGCGUGCUUAACACAUGCAAGUCGAACGGAAAGGCCCCUUUGGGGGUACUCGAGUGGCGAACGGGUGAGUAACACGUGAGUAACCUGCCCUUGACUUCGGGAUAACUUCAGGAAACUGGGGCUAAUACCGGCUAGGAAUCCUUGCUGCAUGGUGGGGGUUGGAAAGCUUCGGCGGUUUUGGAUGGACUCGCGGCUUAUCAGCUUGUUGGUGGGGUAGUGGCUUACCAAGGCUUUGACGGGUAGCUGGCCUGAGAGGGCGACCGGCCACAUUGGGACUGAGAUACGGCCCAGACUCCUACGGGAGGCAGCAGUGGGGAAUAUUGCACAAUGGGCGGAAGCCUGAUGCAGCAACGCCGCGUGCGGGAUGACGGCCUUCGGGUUGUAAACCGCUUUCAGCAGGGGCGAAGCUUGUGGUGACGGUACCUGCAGAAGAAGCACCGGCUAACUACGUG